rnacentral:rRNA from 1 species
AACGAACGCUGGCGGCAUGCCUAACACAUGCAAGUCGAACGAGACCUUCGGGGAUAGUGGCGGACGGGAGAGUAACGCCUAGGAACAUGCACUUAGGUUCGCAAUAACUGCCAGAAAGGGGUGCUAAUACCGGACAAUCUCUUCCGACAAACGAUUUAUUGCCGUUGGCUGGGCGCGCGAUGGAUUAGAUAGUUGGUAGAGUAACAGCCUACCAAGGCGACGAUGUAUAGCUGGUCUGAUAGGAUGACCAGCCACGCUGGGAGUGAGGCCCGGCCCAGACUCGUACGGGAGGCGGGGGUAGGGAAUAUUAGAGGAUGAGCGAAAGCCUGAUCAAGCAAGGCCGCGUGAGUGAUGAAGGCCUUAGUGGUGUAACUCUCUUUUAGACGGGGUGAUAAUGACAGUACCGGGAGAAUAAGCCCCGGCUAACUCCGUG